AUCCAAGGUCUGAGGGCGAAGUCUUACUGCCGACUGUACAGAGGUGUGACAGCAGUAAGGUGUUUCCCUCUGACAACCAGC
rnacentral:precursor_RNA from 1 species